rfam:Erinaceus europaeus unplaced genomic scaffold scaffold00151, whole genome shotgun sequence
UGGCGCCCAACGUGGGGCCUUUUUGGGUCUGGGGUCCGAGAGAACGUCGCUCUCCACUGGUCGACCACGAAGCAUAGGACCACCGCUUCAACCAAGAAGUAAGUGAAGAUCCGCACUGUGAUCGCCACAGAAUCUCCUGUCUGUGAGACUGAUCUGUUUUAAGGUAAGAAAGAGUGACGCAAUUAUGGGACAAGCAUUGAGUAAACAUGAUUUGUUUCUUAGGGGCCUCAAAGAGUCCCUCAAGACACGAGGAACUAGGGUUAAGAAAAAGGAUCUCAAGAAGUUUUUUGAUUUUGUGAGCGAUGUUUGCCCAU